rnacentral:rRNA from 1 species
UACAGAGGUCCCAAGCGUUGUUCGGAUUCACUGGGCGUAAAGGGUGCGUAGGUGGUGAGGUAAGUCGGAUGUGAAAUCUCCGAGCUCAACUCGGAAAUGGCAUUGGAAACUACCUUGCUCGAGGGUUGGAGGGGGGACUGGAAUGCUUGGCGUAGCAGUGAAAUGCGUAGAUAUCAAGCGGAACACCAGUGGCGAAGGCGAGUCCCUGGACAACUCCUGACACUGAGGCACGAAAGCUAGGGGAGCAAACAGG